UUAAAACAACACCAGUUAAUCCGUUUUAAAACUUGAUUUCCACAGAGUCACAAAUUUCGCAAGAAGAUUGGAGCUGACACCAUUCUCACCCCUGCAUAUGAAUUUCCUGACGUGUAUAAAAAGUAUCCUAUUUCCCAGUACCUAGGUUUUGAUAACGAAAACAGUGCUGUCCGUCUAUUUAUGGUUGGAAUCCUGGAUUAUAAAGGUUACGUACACUCUCUUCCCGUAAUAGAUCUGAUGAAAAUUCUAAUUUAUUUCUUAGAGAAUGACUUAAAGAUGAUGCAUGAAA